AGAGUUUGAUCAUGGCUCAGGACGAACGCUGGCGGCGCGCCUAACACAUGCAAGUCGAACGGAGCUGAGAGGAGCUUGCUUUUCUUAGCUUAGUGGCGAACGGGUGAGUAACGCGUGAGUAACCUGCCCUGGAGUGGGGGACAACAGUUGGAAACGACUGCUAAUACCGCAUAAGCCCACGGAUCCGCAUGGAUCUGCGGGAAAAGGAUUUAUUCGCUUCAGGAUGGACUCGCGUCCAAUUAGCUAGUUGGUGAGGUAACGGCCCACCAAGGCGACGAUUGGUAGCCGGACUGAGAGGUUGAACGGCCACAUUGGGACUGAGACACGGCCCAGACUCCUACGGGAGGCAGCAGUGGGGGAUAUUGCACAAUGGGGGAAACCCUGAUGCAGCGACGCCGCGUGGAGGAAGAAGGUUUUCGGAUUGUAAACUCCUGUCGUUAGGGACGAUAAUGACGGUACCUAACAAGAAAGCACCGGCUAACUACGUGCCAGCAGCCGCGGUAAAACGUAGGGUGCAAGCGUUGUCCGGAAUUACUGGGUGUAAAGGGAGCGCAGGCGGACCGGCAAGUUGGAAGUGAAAACUAUGGGCUCAACCCAUAAAUUGCUUUCAAAACUGCUGGCCUUGAGUAGUGCAGAGGUAGGUGGAAUUCCCGGUGUAGCGGUGGAAUGCGUAGAUAUCGGGAGGAACACCAGUGGCGAAGGCGACCUACUGGGCACCAACUGACGCUGAGGCUCGAAAGCAUGGGUAGCAAACAGGAUUAGAUACCCUGGUAGUCCAUGCCGUAAACGAUGAUUACCAGGUGUUGGAGGGUUGACCCCUUCAGUGCCGCAGUUAACACAAUAUGUAAUCCACCUGGGGAGUACGACCGCAAGGUUGAAACUCAAAGGAAUUGACGGGGGCCCGCACAAGCAGUGGAGUAUGUGGUUUAAUUCGAAGCAACGCGAAGAACCUUACCAGGUCUUGACAUCCGAUGCAUAGUGCAGAGAUGCAUGAAGUCCUUCGGGACAUCGAGACAGGUGGUGCAUGGUUGUCGUCAGCUCGUGUCGUGAGAUGUUGGGUUAAGUCCCGCAACGAGCGCAACCCUUAUUGCCAGUUACUACGAAAGAGGACUCUGGCGAGACUGCCGUUGACAAAACGGAGGAAGGUGGGGAUGACGUCAAAUCAUCAUGCCCUUUAUGACCUGGGCUACACGUACUACAAUGGCGUUUAACAAAGAGAAGCAAGACCGCGAGGUGGAGCAAAACUCAAAAACAACGUCUCAGUUCAGAUUGCAGGCUGCAACUCGCCUGCAUGAAGUCGGAAUUGCUAGUAAUCGCGGAUCAGCAUGCCGCGGUGAAUACGUUCCCGGGCCUUGUACACACCGCCCGUCACACCAUGAGAGCCGGGGGGACCCGAAGUCGGU
rnacentral:rRNA from 1 species